rnacentral:rRNA from 1 species
ACCGGCGCACGGGUGAGUAACACGUAUCCAACCUGCCGUCUACUCUUGGCCAGCCUUCUGAAAGGAAGAUUAAUCCAGGAUGGCAUCAUGAGUUCACAUGUCCGCAUGAUUAAAGGUAUUUUCCGGUAGACGAUGGGGAUGCGUUCCAUUAGUUUGUUGGGGGGGUAACGGCCCACCAAGACUACGAUGGAUAGGGGUUCUGAGAGGAAGGUCCCCCACAUUGGAACUGAGACACGGUCCAA